AAACCAGGUACGUAUAUUAACGGUAUCCGCAACAAGGUUUUAGACCGAGAUUGCUGUCGUGUCGGUCGUGCGCAUGCGCACAUGCUACCAAAAAAUUUAAUCGAUGACGGACGGAACAAAUCUUGUUGAUGAAAAAUCUGUAAAUUAAGUGUUAAUUUACGAGCAUCGGCACAAAAAACUCAAGAAAUAAUGACAGAUCGUAACAAAUGUGCUUCAAGGGUUUCAAGUGGUAGAUCAGCACGACAAUUUCACUGAAUGCUGAUACAGCCCAAAAGUUCAAAGAUUUGCAGCUUGUGCCAGGAGAGUCCCAGAAGUGUCAAAUAAAUUUCGGGAAUAAAGUGACACUAAAUGAAAACACUAUAAACAGUCAUUUUAUAGCCAGUGCGAUGCUAUUGAAGUUUUAUGUAAAUCCAGUUAUAAAAUAAAAGGCAAAACUUAUAUAAAUGUGUUUUCCUUUUUAUUUCUUUUUUUUUACUACCAGGUACCUGAUACUACUAUUUCCAAUACCUUUAUGUCUAUUCUCUCGAAAAAAUGUACGUUCAUUCAAGAGAACCUGAAAGAUACUGACAUAUGUAGUGGUGAAACAGUUUGCUCAAUAUAAUUGUAUAAAAGCAACACAGAAAAUAUGUUAAAUAAAUAAAAACAAUUAACUGGAUAUAGUAAUAAUCUAGCCUUACCCACUAAAAAACAGUUUCAAACAGGACCGACUGAUAGAAAAAGUGUGAAAACUAUCACAAUUGAACAAUUAAAUAGAUGCACAUUAAUAACCGUGAUUAAAUCAAUUACUGAAUCUGCAGAAAACAUCAAUUAUGACGGUACAAUGUACUUAUUUUUCACAAUACUUUCAUAACAAAAAAUGUUUAGGCCGUUUUUCAGAAAAAUAUACGUACCUGAGAAAACGAACAUUUUUAUAAGAGCUCUUUUCUGGUGCAGUUUGAAAAUUAUAUAAUCAUACUUUUAUUCAAUUUUAAAAAUAGAUAGAUAGAUAACUUCAUUCUUUAAACAAUGUUCAAAUAAAAAAAUAUAAAGGGCUUAAUAAGUUAAAUAUAUGGUAAAAGUUGCGUUCGAAAUAUGCAAGAUGAUUUUGGUCAUGUGAUUCUUCACGAUAUCUUAUUCGCAUUUAUUUAAGAUACGCAAUAGAAAUUGAAAAACAAAAAAAUUAAAACUACAGUUUAUAAGCUUUUUAUAAAUAAUUUUUCACAAAUUUCGGCAAAAAAAUGACGAAACAAUAAUAACUUGUUACUACAUGUAUAUAAAAUUUCUUUCGUGUGCAGUCGCGAUUUGGCUGGUAGUAAAAGUUGCGUUUUUUACUCGUUACAAUUCCGGAAAUAAUUUAGCUUUGUAAAUGAUAAUUACACGGUUAAAAAGAUCAAAUUCUCAGCUUUCUUUUGAUAGGUAUUUUGCUAAAUUCGGACCAUAAAUUACGAAAAAAUCUUAUAUUUGUUCGAAGAGGGCAUCAUUAUUUUUACUGAAGUUUUGACAUAAUCGGGAGACAAAAAAAAACAAACUCUGUGUUUAACUCGUCGUAAUUUUCUUCAUACUAAACGCUCUGAUUUAUAAAAUAUAUAUUUGAAAAAAUCUAUCUUUCAGCUUUCUAGAAUAUGUUACUUUUAAAAAAUUGAACAGAAAAUAACAUGUUGACGGUAAUUUAAAUAACCAAGGUCAAAUAUCACACCGCUUAAUGAUAUGUAAUCGUCGAUAAAAAUCAAUAACGAUCGGCAGUCUGGAUGGAUUAUCUACCACGACAGCAUAAUUUACCGUUAUUGAUUUACUGUAUAGAGUUGCGGAUACCGUUAAUAUACGUACCUGUUUAAACAUA